rnacentral:rRNA from 1 species
UACAGAGGGUGCAAGCGUUAAUCGGAAUUACUGGGCGUAAAGCGUGCGUAGACGGUUACAUAAGUCGGGUGUGAAAUCCCCAGGCUUAACCUGGGAACUGCAUUCGAGACUGCAUUGCUAGAGUAUGGGAGAGGGAAGUGGAAUUUCCGGUGUAGCGGUGAAAUGCGUAGAUAUCGGAAGGAACAUCAGUGGCGAAAGCGACUUCCUGGACCAAUACUGACGCUCAUGUGCGAAAGCGUGGGGAGCAAACAGG